GACGGACGCUGGCGGCGUGCCUAAUACAUGCAAGUCGAGCGGAUGAUGGAGGAGCUUGCUCCUCCUGAUUCAGCGGCGGACGGGUGAGUAACACGUGGGCAACCUGCCCUGUAGAUUGGGAUAACUCCGGGAAACCGGGGCUAAUACCGAAUAAUCCACCGAACCUCAUGGUCUGGUGUUGAAAGACGGCAUCUCGCUGUCACUACAGGAUGGGCCCGCGGCGCAUUAGCUAGUUGGUGAGGUAACGGCUCACCAAGGCCAAGAUGCGUAGCCGACCUGAGAGGGUGAGCGGCCACACUGGGACUGAGACACGGCCCAGACUCCUACGGGAGGCAGCAGUAGGGAAUCUUCCACAAUGGACGAAAGUCUGAUGGAGCAACGCCGCGUGAGUGAAGAAGGUUCUCGGAUCGUAAAACUCCGUUGUGAGGGAAGAACAAGUACCGGAGUAACUGCCGGUACCUUGACGGUACCUCAUUAGAAAGCCACGGCUAACUACGUGCCAGCCGCCGCGGUAA
rnacentral:rRNA from 1 species